rnacentral:rRNA from 1 species
UACAGAGGGUGCAAGCGUUGUUCGGAAUUACUGGGCGUAAAGCGCGUGUAGGUGGCGAUGUAAGUCGGAUGUGAAAGCCCUCGGCUCAACCGAGGAAGUGCAUUCGAUACUGCGUUGCUUGAGUACCGGAGGGGAUGGCGGAAUUCCCGGUGUAGAGGUGAAAUUCGUAGAUAUCGGGAGGAACACCUGUGGCGAAGGCGGCCAUCUGGACGGUCACUGACACUGAGACGCGAAAGCGUGGGUAGCAAACAGG